rnacentral:lncRNA from 1 species
CCCACUAUCAUUCUGAGGCCUUCCCACCCAUGUGGAACUCUGAACUCACAAGAAAAUAAGGAAGACCUCCUGGAGGGAAAACAAGCAAGAACUGAAAACAAGUGCCGUCAGUGAAUGGAAUGAGAUUUCUCAAGCAUGUACCCUGUGACAGUCACUUCACUAAAAAUCAGAAACUCAAACAUGGAACUGGAUGCUAGUUCUGUCCUCAAGAAGCUCAGAGUCUUUCAGAAAAAGAGGAGCCGUGAGACAAAUUACCAAGUGCAAGCUCAGAAGCCUUGCGUUUGUGGUGAGAGAUGAAGAGGGAGUUUGUAAAGAUGUGAAAGCAGGGUCUUUCUCCUUGAAGUUCUGGGGAGGAAUUGUAAAUCUGUUUGUCUAUUGCCAAAGAAUACUUGCCUUGGAAACUAGAGAGAGCCUCAGAUUCAGUCUCAGUGAUAAAGUGCUUCUAAACUGGGUCAGGGACAAAAACAAAGGACAGACGAUACCAUAAAUAAUGAACUUAUGGGGCAGAAAGUGUCAGCUCAAGUAUUUAGAGGCUCUCUACAAGGAAAAGGAAACUAGGAAUGUAAUGAUUUCAUGAGAGGUUUUGGAAGCCUUCAAAAUCAAUAAAUCAAUUAAUUAUUUAGUUCAGUACUUUUCUCUCUUACUAGCAUAUUAUGAUUUCCCCAACUUCAUCUCUCCCUGGUCAUAUCUGUCCUCUACAAUAUUCCAAGGUUGAUCUUUCUGGGAUAAUAUUUUGAUCUUGUUACUCUCCUUUUAAGAAUAAAGGUAAAAUUUAAAUGGUCAUUUGAGGUCAUUUUAACUGUAUUCUGUGUUUUAAGAAGCCCUCCAACUGAUUCUGAUGCAUAGUAAGUUUUGGGAAUUAAUCACUAUAUGGCUUAUCUCUUCCACAAAAGAAGUAUAUUCUCCCAGGACAAGAGUCUUCCCUAAUGCACCCCUGUAGCCCCUCAGCUCAGUGGCUAAGCACAUGGCAGGUGUUCAAGAAAUUAUGGAAAGGUAAGAUGCAUCUUCUGAGCAGAGGCUGCUUGUCAAGUGGAAGGCUGGGUGCUGUGAGGAAUAGAGGAGAAUUAGAUGAAUUACUGUGCAUUAGUUUAGAUUCUACUGGAGGCGACAAAACCAAGACAUACAGCAAGUGAGAAUAACUAAGUGCUGAUCCAUAGCGUGCAGUAACAACGCAACACAAGCACAGAAGAGGAAAAGAGGUGCUGGGGGGUUUAAUUGUAGGUCCUUAUAUGACUGAACCCUUCCUUCGUGGGUGCUUGAUCUAUUUCUUAUCUGCUCAGGAAUAAGCAACCAGCAAACUAGAGGUUAAUAAUGAUGAUGAUGAUGAUGAUGAUGAUGAUGAUGAUGAUGACGACAAUCUACUGCUGUUUAUGAUAAUACUAGCUAAUAUUUACUGAGGUUCCGCUACACGUUGGGAACUAGUCUGAGCACUUUAUAUAUUAACUUAUUUAAUCCUCAUGACAACCCAAUGAUAGAGAAUUGUAGGCAGAGAUUGGAGGCAGGGAAAUCAGUUCAGGAGUUAUUCCAAUAUGUUAGUUAACCCAAUGAGAUAAUUAUUAACCGAUUUUACAUAGUUGAAAUUGAGACACAGAGAAAUUAGAUAGGUAUGACUACUCUGAAGUGGCAGAGUCAGGUUUGAACCCCUCUUUGCACUAAGGGGGCUGAGAAAAGAGAGCUAGGGCCCUGUCUCCUUGAUGGGAUCUGCAAAGUGCAGAAUAUGGGAUUUUAGAUCAAACAGGGACAUUCUUGGUGCCUUCAGCAAUAUCCUUCUUUCUGGAUGCCUGCUGCUCCUUAUCUGGCCCUCCAUGAGCUUUUAGGCUUGUGAUUAGCUUGCUUUCUCACCUACCUGGGAGAGUUCUCUUUCUCUUUAUCCACUUAUCUUUAUUUAACAUGCUUCCACCACCCUCCCGCCACACAGAAAUCUCAGAGGCCCCUUGGAGUGGUUUACUAGCAUCUCAUCGCCCUCUUCCCUGACCCUGGCUUGGAUGGUCUCUCCUAUAAUACUGAGGAUCGUUGAGGUUUGUCCUCCACCCUUGAACAUUCUUUUUAUUUUCUCCUUCACCCUAGAAGGCAUGAAACACGCAGAUCAUACCGCUCUUCUUAAGGCUAGAUUUUAAAACCAGAUGCACAGAGUUACAGUUCAGUGUGAUCCCACGGGACUCAUGCUUUCAGGGACUCACAACAACGAAAUUGUGUACCGUCUCUGACUUACUGUGUGACCUUGGGGCCAGCCACUUGCCCUCUCUGUGUCUCAGUCCCCUGCAGUGGGAUCAUAAUAUCUACCGCCAAGCAGUGCGCAGAGCAUGAAUGAAUUAUUAUCCCGAACGCCCUCUGAGCUUCUGGGACAAAGGUGCUAUGUUAAUACACAGUAUCCCUCUUCUUCUUCUUCUCAUUAGUAUUAUUCAAACCCAGAUGGCAUUAUUAUUGUUGUUGAUUGACAGCCCCGCAUAGCCCCAUUCACGGGUGUCAGAGAGCCAGGCGGUAGUUAACACAAGCAAAAACCAUGUUUAAAACAAAGCCCAAGGAACACUCCAAUAGUGUGUGCCUUGGGUUGCUAUUAAAGCCAGAGCAGCUGCGGUGGCAACACGGAGGGACAGGGCAAGGAAAUGCAUCCCAGAGCACAAAGAGGGGAAAGUGGGUCUUGACACUGAUCAUAUAAUCGUGCUGGGCUUUUAUAGACACUGGGAGGCCUCAAACAGAAUAAAUGCUUGAACUUUAUCCACGGUUUACAGGCAGCGGCUGUAAAGGUCUUUGUUGCUGUUGCUGCCAUGUUAAUGACCCAGCUUGGGGCGCUGCCGCCGCCGCCGGCCGCUUCUUCCAAAGAAAACAAAUCAAAGUGAGUAACUCGAUGUCCGGCAAUGAGUUUUCCAUUAUAUAAAAAUAAGUAUAAAUCUUUCGCAGUUGGGCAGCCACACUGCGAUGUCGGAGGCUGGUGAAGGGGUCAAGGUAGCUAGACACUUUGAACCUCUGAACCAGCACAUCAGAAAGGGGCCCCUUCUCUUUGUUAAUUGCAAAAUAAACAGAUAAAAAUAAACCGUGGUGCUCCGGCUCUGGGGAUGGUAUUUGCACCAAAGGAGAGGGGAUCAGGAGGCAGCUGGGGAGGGAGAAGGGGGGCCCUUGAUCCUGUUCUCCAUUAGCUUUUCCAGUCUGCCCACACUGAUAAAACUCCGUGAGUCAUUGACCCUCAACAAGCAGAGACAGAGACAUUAAUCUUCAGCUACAAGGUAUGCCUUGCAACCUUAGAGGAGAUCAGUCAAAGCAGUAUCUCGGGUAGAUGCAAUUUAGUGCCUUGGAGGUUUUAAAAAAUGAGUAUCCAUAAAUUCUCUGAUUGUCUUAACAGAGCUUGAGAGUCCUUGGGAGUGUUAGGAAAUGACAAAGUGGAGGCAGCACAUGUUUGGUGGGGGGUUUGGACAAAUGGAUGAAUAAUAGCAUGAGGUCUUAAGACAUGGAAAAAUGCAUGAAUUGGGCGGUUGGGGUACGGAUGGGUGGACAUGUGAGAUAAGUCAAGGUGGGAGUGGAAGAAGAAAGUGAGGACACUGGAGUAAGAAAAAAGACUGGGCGCUUGUUCCUGGUCUUGGGUGAUGAUUUAGGGAUGCAUUCAGGGUUGUGUUUGGAACAAAGUUAGCAUCAAGGGAGGAAGCUAGACAUCCAGAGGUCCAGGAGGGGAGGUCCAGCAGGAGAGGCCCUGCAGAUGAUUCCUGAGUGGUGUCAGUUGUAGGCUCUGAGGACCCUACCCCUUCCCACCCCCAUUUCUCCUUCAGAUGCAGCAAAAAAAAAAAAAAAAA